rnacentral:rRNA from 1 species
UACGUAGGGGGCUAGCGUUGUCCGGAAUCAUUGGGCGUAAAGAGCGUGUAGGCGGCCCGGUAAGUCCGCUGUGAAAGUCGGGGGCUCAACCCUCGAAAGCCGGUGGAUACUGUCGGGCUAGAGUGCGGAAGAGGCGAGUGGAAUUCCUGGUGUAGCGGUGAAAUGCGCAGAUAUCAGGAGGAGCACCGAUUGCGAAGGCAGCUCGCUGGGACGUAACUGACGCUGAGACGCGAAAGCGUGGGGAGCAAACAGG